UAAAGACUAGGACUAGCUGCCUGAGAAACAGUUUUUAUCCAAAUGUGAUUUUGGUUAUAAACGCAGUGUAAGUGUACUCUCUGGGAGAGUACAUUGUAUUUACGGUAAUUAUGGGGGAGUUUUUAGGGGGUUAACCAGGCUGGGAUAGCAGCUUUUGAAUGUCUGAUGUGGUUUUUUCCAAUUUUGUUGUUCUGUAUGGGACAAUGACAACAAAGAUUAUCGUAUCGUUAAAAAAAAGUCACCCUGGCCCCACUCCCCAAUUUCAUUCAGCGUUGCGUAGAGUCGCCGGGUCUAAUGGUGCAAAACGAUGGAACCUGAGAAGGCAAGGAGAAGAACCUUCCUCUCUGGGAGAGCUGAGCAGCCAUUAGCCUUCCUGACCAGACGCCUCGAUUUCUCUUCUCUUCGAGAUCUCUUGACCUUAUUAUGGGAGGGCUGCAGCCAGACUGACCCAGCCAAGGGUUUCUGGGAGCUGGUUUACUGAGUUAAAUCUGAGGUCCCAAGUCCAAGCACCGUUUGCAACAGAAGCCUCCAGAUAACCUCAGGUGCACCUCUUGGGUCCUGUAGCGUUGCAGGUCCAGCAGAGAGCAAAGACUUUGGCCGGGCUUGGGUCACCCGGACCGUGUGAACACAAGAAUUAAAGGACUUUCCUGCUGUUUGGCCUGCCUCAGAUGCUGCCUUCUUGGCUCAUCCUUCUCGUUAGAGCAGAACGGGGUUUUCGGAGAGAGAAACUAAGGCAUGGAACCAAGGGCAGGACCAGGGAGCUGCUCCCAAGAGCACCAAGUGCACGUGGUCUGGUUUAUCGGGGCAAUUCAUGGCAGAAAAAGUUGGCCGGUGGAACAGAGUCGUCGUCAGGAGGUCAAGAGGUAGGCCCUUAGUUAGUGGCUGGGUGGCAGGAGGGCUUUGACAGGGCUGUUGCGGUGUUUCCCCCCCAGCGGUAUUAACACAGAGGCAGUGUGGUGCAGCGGUUAGAGUGUCGGGCCAAGACCUGGGGACCAGGCUUUGAAUCCCCACUUGGCCAUGGAGAGCCUUGGGUUCCUGCCACUCAGCCAACCUACCUCACAGGGUUGUUGUGUUAUUAAACAAGGGGGGGGGGACCAUGAGCUUCCUGGAGAAAAGGGUGCAAUAAAUACAGGAGCACAUGAGAGUUUUGUGACGUCUUCGAGGCUGUAACACGUUUGCUAUGGCAUAAAUUUCCCUAAGCCACAGAAGACUCCUUCCAGGAUCGUUGGCUGGAGCCUGGCGCUGAUGACGCCAAGGUUGCAGGUUCGAUUCCUGUAUGGGACAGCUGCAUAUUCUUGCAAUUCUGUGAUUCUAAGUCUUUUAAGGAGUCCCAAGUCUCUUUUCCUUGUUUUUGCUGGAAACUGCUAACUCACAGAUAGUACUUUCCGACAUUAAGAGCUGCUCAACUGUGGAACAGGCUGCCUUGGAAGACAGUGGGCUCUCCUCCAUCUCUCGCCCUGAUCUGGCCACAGUGAUCCACGCGACGGUCACCUCCAGGCUUGAUUAUUGUAACUUGCUCU